UUCCCUUCAUCACCCGCGUCGAUCCCUUCUCACAUCGCCGCCGCAUCUCCUUCCUCUUCCUCCUCGUUCUUCUCGGCACCGAUCAACGCUCGAGUGUUGACAGCCGAACUUCUCUUCCUCUUCCCCGAGCUCACGCCGACCCCUCCCCUUCUCCAUCGCGGUGCCGACGACACUCGAGCCACCGUCGAUCAAGCUCCUUCUUCCUUUUCCUCACGGACACCAGAAGCUCGCCGCCACGCGUGCCCUAGCAUUGAGCCUUCUCCGGGCAUCUCUGCCUGAAGCCGCCAUCUGGAUCGGUCGCCCUUACGAACAGCCAACCCUAGCGAGCUCCUCUCGGCCGUCAAGACGCCGAUUACUGCUAAGCCUUCUACCAUCGCCGAAGAGCUACCACCACUGGAGAUCGGGGCUCCAUCAGGCUAUCCCUUCUGGCAGCAAGGUCCAGUGAAUCAAUCAGGAAACAUCUAAGAUUCAGGUAACAGGUAGAUGAGUCAUAGAUGCUUGGAGAGUCUCGACUGCCAGUCCCACGUCACACACGAGGAUAGUUUCUUUUUGGAUUUUGUUACUGUUUGGGUGACAUGUUAAAUUUUGUGUAUUAUGCUUUUGAACAAGUCACUGUGGAUUUUUGGAGUUUAGUUUGGUGGUUGCAGGUAUUUUUGUUUGUGUCGUUGUGAGUCUUAUGUUCAUAUUAUUUUGUGUUUUCCGCUGCGUUUACGUUGUUGUGUGUUUACUUUCAGCCGUGUAGGCUUAUUAAAUUGCAUGGUUGUGUUUAUUUUGUUCUA